UGAGGAAUAUUGGUCAAUGGGCGAGAGCCUGAACCAGCCAAGUAGCGUGCAGGAAGACGGCCCUAUGGGUUGUAAACUGCUUUUAUGUGGGGAUAAAGUGAGCUACGUGUAGUUUAUUGCAGGUACCACAUGAAUAAGGACCGGCUAAUUCCGUGCCAGCAGCCGCGGUAAUACGGAAGGUCCAGGCGUUAUCCGGAUUUAUUGGGUUUAAAGGGAGCGUAGGCCGUGGAUUAAGCGUGUUGUGAAAUGUAGACGCUCAACGUCUGAAUUGCAGCGCGAACUGGUUCACUUGAGUAUGCACAACGUAGGCGGAAUUCGUCGUGUAGCGGUGAAAUGCUUAGAUAUGACGAAGAACUCCGAUUGCGAAGGCAGCUUACGGGAGCACAACUGACGCUGAAGCUCGAAGGUGCGGGUAUCAAACAGGAUUAGAUACCCUGGUAGUCCGCACAGUAAACGAUGGAUGCCCGUUGUUAGUUCACUUAAGAAUUAGCGACCAAGCGAAAGCAUUAAGCAUCCCACCUGGGGAGUACGCCGGCACGGUG
rnacentral:rRNA from 1 species